UCAAAUCAUCAUGCCCUUAUGUUCUGGGCUACACACGUGCUACAAUGGCCGGUACAGAACGGACGCAAAGCCGCGAGGUGGAGCAAAUCCUAAAAGACCGGUCUCAGUUCGGAUUGCAGGCUGCAAUUCGCCUGCAUGAAGUCGGAAUCGCUAGUAAUCGCAGGUCAGCAUACUCGCGGUCGAAUACGUUCCCGGGCCUU
rnacentral:rRNA from 1 species